rnacentral:lncRNA from 1 species
AGGUACGAAAGUAUGCUUAUACCAUCAAGUGCCACAAUACAAUCAACAUGACACACAUCAUUUAAUCAUUCAAAACAAUCUUAAGAUGGCAUUAAUGUCAACCACACAAACAUAUACCAAACCUUACCAUAUUCUUUCAAACUUAGCAUAUGCAUACUAUUCAUUUUACUAAGCCUAUUUCAAGACAUAUUACCUAAUCACCAUACAAGCAAUUAAACAUACAUACCUAAAUAAUUCAACAAGGUUAUCAACUACAAAGAUCAUUACCAACAUUUAUAUAUACACAUAUUCACAUAACAUUCAAAAUACCAAAUUAAUCCAAAGCAUAACAUAUACAACCAUAUAACCCUCUUAGGUACAUGUCAUGACCAAACUAAAAACAUCAUCAACACUUAAGUCCGAGAUUGUCGCUGGAUGCUGAAGUUGAUGAUCGAACCAAAAGAACCUAACCUAUGCAUGAAAAAAAAUCGUACGUUGAGUAUAACUUAGUGGUAUUUCUAUAAUCCGAACAUUAAAUCAUAAUAUAAAUCAUUCAAUGCACAAGUUAAGAAUAAAUGAUGAUAUGCAAAUUAUCAUGUCAGAUUUUACCAUUUCUUGUUCUCAUAAUCCAAAUCUAACAAAAGUCACUAGUAUAAGGCAAAAAAUUUCCAUUUCAUAUUCCAUUUGAAAAUAUCAAUUAUUAGGUAUCACAUUUCAUCUCAAUUUUUCCAUAUCAUUAAUUCAAAGAACAUAACCAUAAUUAUUUCUACUCAUUUCACGAAUCAUUAUUUUGAUUUUCAUUUUAACUUCCCUAUUAACCUGAUUUGGACUCGGAUGAAUACGUGGAUCCAACCAACACACCAAUUUGGCACCCAGUGCCUAUCGGAUAAAUCCGAGAAUAAUAAGUUGCGCCUUACACUGGUCGGUAUAACCGACAGAUAGAUGUGCCCAGCACUGGCCGGUAUAACCAACAAAUGGAGUGCCCAACACUCCUCGACACGUAGUCGUGUAACCCUAAACUCUUUCUAUCCUAUGACAUGCCAAUUAUACCCAACCCUACUCGAACAAUUAAUAGGGUAACAAAUUUCUCACAUUCAUUUUAAACCAAUUUUCAAUUUCAAUAUAAUAAUCUUAAUCAACCAAUCAAUAAUUCCCAUAUAUAACAACAUAACUCAUCGUAACAUUAGUACAAUUCUGUAACACCCCUUACCCGUAUCCAACGCCGGAAUAGGGUAAACACUUACACAUGUAAACCUAUUAAACCGAGUUACAAAAUUUCAUUCAAAUUUAAAACUUUCAAAAUUAUUAACAUGCUUUUAUAACUCUUCACAUUAUAUAUAUAUAAUGCAACAUUUUCUGCUAACCACACUAUCAAAUAAUGGAUUUACUCAAUCGAGCUCAAUAUCACAUGUCAACUUAUAAUCCAACAUUUAACUUCAAUUGCACUUUCAGAUACUUUUUAAAUUAAGGAUCGUAUUACGGACUUGAGUACAUCGUCUGCCCGGUGUCACAAUUUGCUUGAAUUUUUUUUUUCACAAUGCUAUAACUCAGUAUGGUGUUCUUUAUUGAAACACCAUACUUACUUUUCACAUUUUGCCAUGGAUCCACCAUGGACUUAUCCGUCAAUUCAUCACUGAUUGCCGUACAUAUGUACUCAAUCCUGCGUGUCCAUUAAUUUGAACAAACAAUCUCAUUUUAUUCUUAUUUUUACCAUAAUUAUAAUUCAACAACAUUAUACUAAUUGAUACAUUAUACCAUUCCCACAUUAACGAUUAAUCAUAAAAGUUCAGCCAUAUGAACUUACUUUUCAUUAACUUUCCACACUCAUUUUCUAUGAACAUCACACAAGAUAUAAACAAAUCAUUCAACCAUAGUCGCGAGCUAGUGUAUUUAAACAUAACUCUUUUUGGGGCUAAUCACAUAACAAACCAUAUCAAUGCAUAACUUAUAAAUUUAACGUGGCAUGGUCUAUGUAACUACUUGGCCAAAGCCUAAGCAUGUAUACCAAAUAUGUUCACCAAAUAUACAUAUAACAUAAGCAUUAUAAGUAGGGAUAAGCACAACAUUUAUUCAUGUAUCGGGCUUACCAACAUGUUUUAAUUCAUAAACCACUCAUGGUCUUACUCCCUGCCAAAUCAUGUACCGAAUAAUUUAGCUUUCUUAACACAUUUAUUUGCUUUUACUAUUGCUCACAUAAGAUUUAUAGAGCAUAGAGCCUUGUAUAUAACACCGGCAUAAAGCCUGCUAGGCACCAAGCCCGAUACAUUUCACCGGCACAAAGCCUGCUAGACAUAAAGUCUGAUAUAAUUCACCGGCACAAAGCCUGCUAGGCAUAAAGCCUGAUAUAAUUCACCGGCACAAAGCCUGCUAGGUAUAAAGCCUGAACUUACAAAAUCAGUCUUUCACAUAAUUCACAUCUAAUUUAAAUCAUUCUCGAAAUAUAAUCAAAUCACAAUAUUACAUUCGGCACUAGCUUAUAUAACUUCAAAUAAUUAAUUUCAUACAUUUUAUUGUCCUCCUCCUCCUCUCCAUUCCACAUCCUUUACGUAUAAAACAUGCUUAAAUAGUAUNNNNNNNNNNNNNNNNNNNNNNNNNNNNNNNNNNNNNNNNNNNNNNNNNNNNNNNNNNNNNNNNNNNNNNNNNNNNNNNNNNNNNNNNNNNNNNNNNNNNNNNNNNNNNNNNNNNNNNNNNNNNNNNNNNNNNNNNNNNNNNNNNNNNNNNNNNNNNNNNNNNNGGUUUGCUUAAUUUCCAGCAAGCUAUCUUUCUGCGUCAUAGACGCUAAUUUAUUUUUAUCUGGAGCUACAGGGAUCCAAAUUAAGUUCCAUAAAUUUUACCUGAAACUAGACUCAUAUAACUUCUUACCAUAAAAUUUCCAGAAUUUUUGGUUUAGCCAAUUAGUACAGUUUAUUCAUUCAAUUUACCCCUGUUUUGCUGUCCAACAGUUCUGACACUUCUUCACAACGAAUCAAUUUUCUCCUCAUACAAAAUUCAUAUGAUGUUCUCGUUUAUUUCACUUGAAAAUAGACAUAUUAAGGAUUUCAAACAUAUAAAUUAUACUCCAUAAUUAUUUUUGUACAAUGUUUACUGAUUUUUCAAAGUUGGAACAGGGGAUUCUGAAACUCAUUCUGACCGUGUUUCACCAAAAUUCAAAUAUCUCAUAAUUCACACUUCUUUUGCUUACUCUGUUUCUUUUAUAGAAAAAUAGACUCAUUAAUCUUUAAUUUCAUAUCUCACCCAGACUUUAAUUCAAUUUCUACUAUUUUUGGUGAUUUUUCAAAGUUAUACUAGUGCUGCUGCCCACAACUGUUUUAAGGUCAGUUUCACUCAUUCAAUAAUUAUUUGUGUUCACUUUCAUUUAUAUACAUUUACACCAAAGCAUAUUAUAUCUUGGCACAUAACAAUCAAGUGAUCAUAGACACACCUUACUUGUAAUAUUAGGGAUGUUCGGGAUAUCUCGUACACCUGGUAGGACGCCAAUGCCAUAUCCCAGAUAUGGUCUUACAUGGGAUCACAUAUCGGUGCCGAUGCCGUAAUGAAGUUGCACAAUUAGUGCUAACCAAAUUACUCUCGGUAUCGCACACUUAGUGCCCGUUAUUCAACAUCAUUAUUAUAAUUCCGCACACUUAGUGCCUAUUAUUCAACAUCAUCAUUUUAAUUUUACACACUUAGUGCCAUUCAUAUAGCCGUAGCUAUUCCAUACUCGCACACUUAGUGCUAAAUAUUGAUAAAUCACAUUCAUGUCUAUUUCUACUUUCCGAACUAAAAUACAUUCAGCUAUAUAUAUAUUUAUCAUAUUUCCAUUUCAGCAUAUAUAACUAACAUUUAUUCAGAAAUUUUAAUAUCUAAUUGCUUAUAAACUUACUUCGGAUGUCGUCGACUAAUUGAUCGGCUACUCAACUACUUUCGAUUUUCCCCGAUCUAAAUCCCAUUUCUUGUUUUCUUGAUCUUAACAUAUUCAAAUAAAUCUCAUUUUAACAUAUUUUCAUUCAAUUUAGUCUAAUAAAGCAUAAAUGGGCAAAUUACAUUUUUACCCCUAAUAUUUCGCACUUUCACAAUUUAGUCCUUAUUCCACAAAACACAAAAUAUACAAAAUUUGGCCACACUCCUUAAGGGCCGAAUCUUCCUAGUACCCAUAUAAGUCCAUACAUUUCAUUUAUUUCACCUUUGAGUCCUUCAAAAAUUUAUUUUUGUAAUUUAGCCAUAAUUACUCAAAAUCACCAAAAACUUCAACACAAAGCAUAUUAAUCUUUAACAUAUCUUUCAUUUUUCAUCAACAACUAUCAAAAAGCUCAAGCACUCAUCAAUGGCAAAGCACAAAAUCAUCAUCAAUUCACAAAAUUGAAACAUGGGUUUUAAAGAACACAAAGCAACGAUAUCAAAAACGUAAAAAUUAUCAAAAACUGAACAAAAGACUAACCUUAAUCUAACUCCCAAUGGCCGAACCUUAGCCAAGCUUUUCUCUUUUUCUUCUUUCUCCAGUUUCGACAGUGGAGAAGAUGAUAUGAUAGUGGCUUCC